rnacentral:rRNA from 1 species
AACGAACGCUGGCGGCAGGCUUAACACAUGCAAGUCGAACGCAUCCUUCGGGGUGAGUGGCAGACGGGUGAGUAACGCGUGGGAACGUGCCCUUCAGUUCGGGAUAACCCAGGGAAACUUGGGCUAAUACCGGAUACGUGCGAGAGCAGAAAGAUUCAUCGCUGAAGGAUCGGCCCGCGUCUGAUUAGCUAGUUGGUGGGGUAAUGGCCCACCAAGGCGACGAUCAGUAGCUGGUCUGAGAGGAUGAUCAGCCACAUUGGGACUGAGACACGGCCCAAACUCCUACGGGAGGCAGCAGUGGGGAAUAUUGGACAAUGGGCGCAAGCCUGAUCCAGCCAUGCCGCGUGAGUGAUGAAGGCCUUAGGGUUGUAAAAUUCUUUCACCGGGGACGAUAAUGACGGUACCCGGAGAAGAAGCCCCGGCUAACUUCGUGCCAGCCGCCGCCGUAA